rnacentral:sRNA from 1 species
AGAUUGCUACCUUGUUCGACCAAGCAUAGCUUUUUAAAUCCAACACUUAUUAAAAGGGAUUCGCACUCUUUCCGAAGAUUGAAGACCUCCCGCCCGAACCGCUUAUGCCGUUCGGUCUACGGACGAAGGGAUCAUGAGACUGAAAGGUCGUUUUACCCACCCUGCACAUUGAUGCGGGUUUACAUUCUAUGCGACGGCAAGGCGGCAAUUUA